GGAAAGACUGUAGCUCGGUGGCAGAACAUCUGUUUCACAUAUACAAGGUCCUAGGUUCAAUCCUUGGCAUUUCCU